rnacentral:rRNA from 1 species
UGGGGAAUAUUGGACAAUGGGCGCAAGCCUGAUCCAGCAAUACCACGUGUGUGAAGAAGGCCUGAGGGUUGUAAAGCACUUUCAAUUGGGAGGAAAACAGCUGGGUUAAUAUCCCUGCUCUUGACAUUACCUUUAGAAGAAGCACCGGCUAACUCCGUGCCAGCAGCCGCGGUAAUACGGAGGGUGCGAGCGUUAAUCGGAAUUACUGGGCGUAAAGCGUACGUAGGCGGUUAUUUAAGUCAGAUGUGAAAGCCCCGGGCUCAACCUGGGAACUGCAUUUGAUACUGGAUAACUAGAGUUUGAUAGAGGAGAGUAGAAUUUCUGGUGUAGCGGUGAAAUGCGUAGAGAUCAGAAGGAAUACCAGUGGCGAAGGCGGCUCUCUGGAUCAAAACUGACGCUGAGGUACGAAAGCGUGGGUAGCAAACAGG